rnacentral:snRNA from 1 species
GCUUUACCCAGGUGGGAGCUUC